CGGGUGAGUAACACGUGAGUAAUCCACCCUUGGUACCGGGAUAGCUCGGGGAAACUCGAAUUAAUACCGGAUAGCCCAUUAGCCUUUCGAGGCGAAUGGAAAAGGUAGCUUCGGCCUCCGACCAAGGACGAGCUCGCGGCGGAUUAGCUUGUUGGCGGGGUAAUGGCCCACCAAGGCGACGAUCCGUAGCUGGUCUGAGAGGACGAUCAGCCACACUGGGACUGAGACACGGCCCAG
rnacentral:rRNA from 1 species